CUAACACAUGCAAGUCGAACGCGAAAGUCCCGCAAGGGAUCAUUAGAGUGGCAAACGGGUGAGUAACGCGUGGGUGACCUGCCUUCGAGCGGGGGAUAACGUCCCGAAAGGGACGCUAAUACCGCAUGACAUCCUGCCUUUGAAGAGGUGGAGAUCAAAGCCGGGGAUUCGCAAGAACCUGGCACUUGAAGAGGGGCCCGCGUCUGAUAGCUAGUUGGUGGGGUAAUGGCUCACCAAGGCAUCGAUCAGUAUCCGGCCUGAGAGGGCGGACGGACACACUGGGACUGAGACACGGCCCAGACUCCUACGGGAGGCAGCAGUGGGGAAUUGUUCGCAAUGGGCGCAAGCCUGACGACGCAACGCCGCGUGGAGGAUGAAGAUCUUCGGGUCGUAAACUCCUUUCGAUCGAGACGAAUGGCUUCCGGGUGAAUAAUCCGGGAGAGUGACGGUACCGAGAGAAGAAGCCCCGGCUAACUCCGUGCCAGCAGCCGCGGUAAUACGGGGGGGGCAAGCGUUGUUCGGAAUUACUGGGCGUAAAGGGCUCGUAGGUGGCCAACUAAGUCAGACGUGAAAUCCCUCGGCUUAACCGGGGAACUGCAUCUGAUACUGGAUGGCUUGAGAUUGGGAGAGGGAUGCGGAAUUCCAGGUGUAGCGGUGAAAUGCGUAGAUAUCUGGAGGAACACCGGUGGCGAAGGCGGCAUCCUGGACCAACACUGACACUGAGGAGCGAAAGCCAGGG
rnacentral:rRNA from 1 species